rnacentral:rRNA from 1 species
AGCGAACGUUAGCGGCGGGCUUAACACAUGCAAGUCGAACGGGCAGGGGCAACCCUGUCAGUGGCGCACGGGUGCGUAACACGUGGGUAAUCAACCCUUUGGACUGGGACAACCCGGGGAAACUCGGGCUAAUACCGGAUGUGGCGUGGCGGUCCUCGGACUGCUCCGCGAAAGCUCCGCAAGGGGCACCAGAGGACGAGCCCGCGUCCCAUCAGCUAGUUGGUGAGGUAAUGGCUCACCAAGGCGAAGACGGGUAGCUGGUCUGAGAGGAUGAUCAGCCACACUGGAACUGAGACACGGUCCAGACUCCUACGGGAGGCAGCAGUGGGGAAUAUUGCGCAAUGGGCGAAAGCCUGACGCAGCCACGCCGCGUGUGCGAUGAAGGUCUUCGGAUCGUAAAGCACUGUGGGGGGAGAAGAAACAAGCCGGUGAAGAGCCGGCCCUGACGGUAUCCCCUUAGCAAGCACCGGCUAACUCCGUGCCAGCAGCCGCGGUAAAGU